CCUACGGGUGGCAGCAGUGGGGAAAAUUGGGCAAUGGAGGAAACUCUGACCCAGCAACGCCGCGUGAAUGAUGAAGGUCUUCGGAUUGUAAAGUUCUUUUCUAAGGGAAGAAGAAAGUGACGGUACCUGAGUAAGAAGCCCCGGCUAACUACGUGCCAGCAGCCGCGGUAAUACGGAGGAUGCGAGCGUUAUCCGGAUUUAUUGGGUUUAAAGGGUGCGUAGGCGGACAGUCAAGUCAGCGGUAAAAAUGCGGUGCUCAACGCCGUACAGCCGUUGAAACUGGCAGUCUUGAGUGGGCGAGAAGUAUGCGGAAUGCGUGGUGUAGCGGUGAAAUGCAUAGAUAUCACGCAGAACUCCGAUUGCGAAGGCAGCAUACCGGCGCCCGACUGACGCUGAGGCACGAAAGCGUGGGUAUCGAACAGGAUUAGAUACCCUUGUAGUC
rnacentral:rRNA from 1 species